GGACCACACCGGAAGUACUUGUCGUGUCAAUGGUGUGUGGUUCUCAGUGCUCAUGAUCGUUGUCGAUUAUUAUUAGAAGUAUCGAUGGAUAUUGAAUAAGUAAUUCUUAGUUAAGUGUAAAACAAGCAUGGCUACAAAACGUAAAGCGGAUGUAUCAGUGCCUGCAGAAGAGAGUGAUCAACUCCUCAUAAGACCACUAGGAGCUGGUCAAGAGGUGGGCAGGUCCUGUAUCAUCCUGGAGUUCAAGGGCCGUAAAAUCAUGCUGGACUGUGGCAUCCACCCUGGAUUGGAGGGCAUGGAUGCAUUGCCUUACAUU